rnacentral:tRNA from 1 species
GGGGGGUUGGCGCAAUGGUAGCGCGUGCGCCUCCAGAGCGCAAGGUUGGGCGUUCGAGUCGCUCACUCCCCA